rnacentral:rRNA from 1 species
AGAACGAACGCUGGCGGCAUGCCUAAUACAUGCAAGUCGAACGAACUCUUCGGAGUUAGUGGCGCACGGGUGCGUAACGCGUGGGAAUCUGCCCCUUGGUUCGGAAUAACAGUUGGAAACGACUGCUAAUACCGGAUGAUGACGAAAGUCCAAAGAUUUAUCGCCAAGGGAUGAGCCCGCGUAGGAUUAGCUAGUUGGUGAGGUAA